AAUGAGACUUCCCCGAUCCUAACUAUAACGGGGGCUGCGGUAGUAGGAGUGAUUCGCAGCGGAAGCACCGCUCUGGCUGAAAAAGGCCGGAGGGGGCAUUC
rnacentral:sRNA from 12 species